UAUUGAGGCACUGGCCCAGGGAACUGAGCCUUGGGCCUGUCCUAAAGCUCCAUAGGUGACUGCACUGCAGCCCACAUGGAGAGCUGCAGCUCUAACACAGGGAUUUUGAGAGGCCUCAGUGCCAUUUAAGUGGCACUUCCAGGACACCCAUCCUGAGCUCCCACAAAGGGCGCCACCUUCCCAAGAACGUCUAAUUGUCAUUGGAACAGCCAGUGUCAGGCAGCUUCUGCUCAGGCUGAUGUGGCGUCUGACCCUUGGUGGGUUGCCAGACAUUCCUUCCUGUUUCUGCCAUGGGAAGUUGGCACUGGGAAUGGUAUGGAGCCCCCACUUCUACCCUGAGCCUUGGGUGUCUGCUGCUUCCAGGUGAAAAAUGGACAUUUCUGAUACUGCCCAGCCACUACGGCACCACAACCCAUGCUCAUAGUCUCCAGGGAUGUGUAGAACGGCAAUGGCAGGACAGCAAACAACUGGCGAUUUCCCCAGGUCCCACGCUCUUGCGGAGUGAGUAUGUUGGGUCCCUGUCCCCAGUGUGUUCCAGCCUUACCCAGGUGCACAGAGUACCCUGGGGCCAGCACAGGGCUUGUCCAGUGAUGCUCCUGGUGUUCACAAAAUGGCUCCAGAGAUACCUGCAUUUUGAAAAGCCUGCCGAGCCAGCAAGUGUAGGGCAGGACCCGGAUUUCUUUGGCAAAUCUGAAGGUGAGAGGGCCACUUGCCUGCUGAGUAGAAGCUGCCUUUACCUGGCCAGUGUAUGCAACUUGAGAGAAAAUGACAGCUGCAUGGGGCGCUCUGGUGGGACUGGGAAGUCUGAUCUUCCGGGGAGCUGUAGAUAGUGAAUUUCAAGUUGACAGCUACCUUCUCAGGGAUUUAUAUAUAAAUAUAGUUAGAGGAAAAGCUAAAAUCUAUUUUACUAGUUUUUAGUGUUUGUGUAAAGUAAGCUUAAACUGGACAGAAUAAACAUUUCUCAGACAAUGUUGAUGCUACUGAUUACAAGUUAGAUGGCUGGAGCUUGCCCCUUGGUGGAGAAUUUCUUGGUGAUUGGAGACUGGGGACUCUGGCAGCAGAAGUGGCUUUAUGGUGGGUGUGAAGUUGCUUCUGCCCCUCUGAGUGGCCUCUCAUGGAUGUGAAUGCGUGUAUUGACACCAGUGAAAUCCACCUCCGUGUGCGUGGAGGUGGCUGAUGAGAACACAAGUGAGCCAGUCCUGGUUCUUCCCUCCAGAACCGGUCACUCCCAGUCUGACGUUGGAGCAUGUGAACUAAGAGUGACAUUUUUUUCUACUUGCUUCUGUGAAUAAAGUGUUCUACAGUCAGCCAGCACUAAACACCAGAAAGGAGGAGGGAACAGCGUGGAGCAAUUCAUCUGGAAUUACCUCGGUGUGCAGAGGCUGUCCCUUGGCUCCACUUGGGAUAAACAUUGUGAAACAUCGUGGGCCUCUUUCUUCUCAAGCUCCUCCUGACAGCCUCCUGGCAACACUAGAGGCCUCAAGACUAUGGAGAUCAGAAUUGCAAUGGCUUUGUCAUCUCAGCAUUGACCACUCCUGAGACCCAAGGUUCCUCCUGGGAGCAGGAGACAAGGAGUUUGUGAUGUUGGAUGGAAAAUAGGAUAUAUGAAUGCAGAAGGGCUGUGCUGGACCCCUCUUUUCGCUUCUCUCCCUGCUGUCAGCAGUGUCUCUGGCAUGGAGGCGAAUCUGUUGUGGGUGAAACAGAAGCCCCUGGGGUAGGACCAGACCCCAGGCCUGAAAAGGAUGCAAAGCCUGCUGUUUCAGGCUGUCAGGAAGAAUCGUGGGUACCGAGUGAUUAUGAUGAAAUGCAACCCAGAGAGGAAAUGAAUGGGCCCUCACUAAGAAGUGGGUCUGACAUGUCUCUGGCAGCCCACCGGCAAGAGCACGACAUGCCCUGCAGCCCCACCAUCCACACUACAUGAUGUGGGAGGGCUGUCUGUUCAUUCUUACACUGGGGACCCAAGCCUGCUCUGAGGAGUGAGUCACAGCCCUGACGUGCGCCUUGCAUUACUGUUUCCUGAGAUGUGCCCGGAGACUCAAGCUUGCUCAUUUCUGUCCUGACACAGCUCACUGUUCCUUAGGUGGUCAUAGUCCUCCCGUGCUGUGUCAGCUCCUACAUAGCAUUAGUCUUUCACGUGAUAAAGUGCAAGCACUUUUCCAUUUUACAGUAUUUGGGGAAAUUCUAACACACUCCCCAGGGAUUUGUGCAUGUCCUUCUGCCUCCCCGGUGGGUCAUUCUGUGGAUUCCGCACCUGGCAGUCGGUCUUCCCCCUUGGAAGCCCCUAGGAUCCCUGUUUCUACGGGCCUGGUCCUUGGUUUCUACCCCAGUCCCUUUUGGCCGGCACCUGCCUGGAACUGCCUGGAGCGCCAUGGUAUGGGGAAGGACAGGUGGAACCCUGACCACAACAGAUCCUUCUAAAACAACAGUCACAUUGAUGAUGAUGAGUGCAGUGGGGUGAAUGUCGUCACAGCAUGCAUGCUGGGAGCUGCCAAGGGCUUACAACAAAAGCAGUUCUUCCUAAGGCACCCUUUGCAUCUUCCCAUCCACGCCUCUCAGUGCAUUUGGAACUUGCUUAUGCAUUGGAAUAACUUGAGUCAGCUGCUCGUUUCUGUGCCUCUGCACUCACAGGUUCCUUCAUUAACAUUUUAAAUAAGUGGUUAAAAACUCCUCUGGAGGUUGUUUUUGAAAGAAACAGGGAAAAGAAAAACACACACUACCUGAAUUGAUUUGAGUAAUUUUCCAGUGACUCAGUUGAAACUCAGUGUUGCAUACAUAAUUUCCUCAUGCUGAGCCAGCCUGAAAUAAGACUUGAUAAGAGGCACAGCCCUAAGUAGCAGGCAGUGCCACUGUGGACAGUGUACACUAUGGUGUGAGUGUGUGCACAGGCGAGCCUAAGUGUGUGUACUCAUACACACAGAUAAACCGAAAGGACACUGGGCUUUGUGCUGGCAAAGGCUGUGAUGCUGCUGUGGCUUUCUAUGGGCCCUGGGGAGUGUCAGAUGGGAAGUGCUUUGAUGGCAUGUUGUUCAGUGUAUUUAAUGGGGUCUCCCAUGGCCCGAGGACCCACUGUGAGCACUCCACCCACUGUGGCGCAGAACACGGCUGGAGUCAUCAUAGCCCAGGUCUUUAUUGAAAGGGAGUGUUGACCCAGAAGCCUCAUAUAGAAACCAUUUGGCAAGGUCUGGACCAUCUCUCUGCAACUGACCUGCCUUGGCCGCACAGAGGGACCCAAACCCAAAAGGCCCAGACCCAAGGGAGACUGAAUCACAUUUACCAUUACACCAGCUUUCAUUUAUUUGUUUCCAUAUGAUCAUAGGGACUGUAUUACUAAGUAUGCUUAUAAAUGCUAUUUACAGACUGUUCCCUUUUAUAAGGUGAAAGAUUAAUAAAGAACAAAAAAUUGCCUGUAGAAAACCAUGCCUGAGGCCAGGAGCAGUGGCUCAUGCCUGUAAUCCCAGCACUUUGGGAGACCAAGACAAGCAGAUCACCCAAGGUCAGGAGUUCAAGACCAGCCUGGCCAACUUGGAGAAACCCCAGCUCUACAAAAAUAC
ensembl:lncRNA novel transcript